rnacentral:lncRNA from 1 species
GCGACGCGGCCUCAGAAGGGUCGGAGGGGAGGAGGGCGGGAUUGCAUUGGCGAGGGCGAGGGCGUGCGGGGCAGAGGUGAGGCGAGCUGUUUCCGCCUCCGCCGCUGCCAUCGCUGCAUUCUUUAGAGAGAGAAAAAAAAGAACAAGAAAAAAAAAGAGGAGAGAGAAAAAGUAAUAAGGGUAUUUUGGUCAGUUUGCUGAAAAUCUGGCCUGAAUCUGCAAAAACGAAAAAUGUGGCCCAGUUUU